rnacentral:rRNA from 1 species
GACGAACGCUGGCGGCGUGCCUAAUACAUGCAAGUAGGACGCAGUUGCGAACGGGUGAGUAAGGCGUAGGUAACUGCCUAUGAGAGGGGGAUAACUAUUGGAACCGAUAGCUAAUAACGCAUACUAGUAGAUGGACCUGCGUUGUAUUUGGUAGUAGGUAUGGUAAUGGGCUACCUAGGCGACGAUACAUAGCCGAGUCUGUGGGGUGAUUCGGCACACCGUGACUUGGACACCGCCCAGACUCCGACCGGAGGCAGCAGUAGGGAAAUUUCGGAAAUGGGGCGAACCCUGACCGCGCAACGCCGGGUUAGUUAAUAAGGUUUUCGGAUCUUAAAGCUCCGUUGUUAAGGAAGCGGUACUUAACCAGAAAGGGACGGCUAACUACGUGCCAGCAGCCGCGGUAAUUC